rnacentral:rRNA from 1 species
UACUAAUUUGGCUAGCGUUGUUCGGAAUCACUGGGCGUAGAGGGCGCGUAGGCGGCUUUGUAAGUCGGGGGUGAAAGCCUGUGGCUCAACCACAGAAUUGCCUUCGAUACUGCAAGGCUUGAGACCGGAAGAGGUUAGUGGAACUGCGAGUGUAGAGGUGAAAUUCGUAGAUAUUCGCAAGAACACCAGUGGCGAAGGCGGCUGACUGGUCCGGUUCUGACGCUGAGGCGCGAAAGCGUGGGGAGCAAACAGGAUGAGAAAACCUCGUAGUCC